AGAGUUUAAUCAUGGCUCAGAUUGAACGCUGGCGGCAGGCCUAACACAUGCAAGUCGAACGGUAACAGGAAGCAGCUUGCUGCUUCGCUGACGAGUGGCGGACGGGUGAGUAAUGUCUGGGAAGCUGCCUGAUGGAGGGGGAUAACUACUGGAAACGGUAGCUAAUACCGCAUAAUGUCGCAAGACCAAAGAGGGGGACCUUCGGGCCUCUUGCCAUCGGAUGUGCCCAGAUGGGAUUAGCUUGUUGGUGGGGUAACGGCUCACCAAGGCGACGAUCCCUAGCUGGUCUGAGAGGAUGACCAGCCACACUGGAACUGAGACACGGUCCAGACUCCUACGGGAGGCAGCAGUGGGGAAUAUUGCACAAUGGGCGCAAGCCUGAUGCAGCCAUGCCGCGUGUAUGAAGAAGGCCUUCGGGUUGUAAAGUACUUUCAGCGGGGAGGAAGGGAGUAAAGUUAAUACCUUUGCUCAUUGACGUUACCCGCAGAAGAAGCACCGGCUAACUCCGUGCCAGCAGCCGCGGUAAUACGGAGGGUGCAAGCGUUAAUCGGAAUUACUGGGCGUAAAGCGCACGCAGGCGGUUUGUUAAGUCAGAUGUGAAAUCCCCGGGCUCAACCUGGGAACUGCAUCUGAUACUGGCAAGCUUGAGUCUCGUAGAGGGGGGUAGAAUUCCAGGUGUAGCGGUGAAAUGCGUAGAGAUCUGGAGGAAUACCGGUGGCGAAGGCGGCCCCCUGGACGAAGACUGACGCUCAGGUGCGAAAGCGUGGGGAGCAAACAGGAUUAGAUACCCUGGUAGUCCACGCCGUAAACGAUGUCGACUUGGAGGUUGUGCCCUUGAGGCGUGGCUUCCGGAGCUAACGCGUUAAGUCGACCGCCUGGGGAGUACGGCCGCAAGGUUAAAACUCAAAUGAAUUGACGGGGGCCCGCACAAGCGGUGGAGCAUGUGGUUUAAUUCGAUGCAACGCGAAGAACCUUACCUGGUCUUGACAUCCACGGAAGUUUUCAGAGAUGAGAAUGUGCCUUCGGGAACCGUGAGACAGGUGCUGCAUGGCUGUCGUCAGCUCGUGUUGUGAAAUGUUGGGUUAAGUCCCGCAACGAGCGCAACCCUUAUCCUUUGUUGCCAGCGGUCCGGCCGGGAACUCAAAGGAGACUGCCAGUGAUAAACUGGAGGAAGGUGGGGAUGACGUCAAGUCAUCAUGGCCCUUACGACCAGGGCUACACACGUGCUACAAUGGCGCAUACAAAGAGAAGCGACCUCGCGAGAGCAAGCGGACCUCAUAAAGUGCGUCGUAGUCCGGAUUGGAGUCUGCAACUCGACUCCAUGAAGUCGGAAUCGCUAGUAAUCGUGGAUCAGAAUGCCACGGUGAAUACGUUCCCGGGCCUUGUACACACCGCCCGUCACACCAUGGGAGUGGGUUGCAAAAGAAGUAGGUAGCUUAACCUUCGGGAGGGCGCUUACCACUUUGUGAUUCAUGACUGGGGUGAAGUCGUAACAAGGUA
rnacentral:rRNA from 1 species